AUUGAACGCUGGCGGCAGGCCUAACACAUGCAAGUCGAGCGGAUGAAGGGAGCUUGCUCCUGGAUUCAGCGGCGGACGGGUGAGUAAUGCCUAGGAAUCUGCCUGGUAGUGGGGGAUAACGUCCGGAAACGGGCGCUAAUACCGCAUACGUCCUGAGGGAGAAAGUGGGGGAUCUUCGGACCUCACGCUAUCAGAUGAGCCUAGGUCGGAUUAGCUAGUUGGUGGGGUAAAGGCCUACCAAGGCGACGAUCCGUAACUGGUCUGAGAGGAUGAUCAGUCACACUGGAACUGAGACACGGUCCAGGCUCCUACGGGAGGCAGCAGUGGGGAAUAUUGGACAAUGGGCGAAAGCCUGAUCCAGCCAGGCCGCGUGUGUGAAGAAGGUCUUCGGAUUGUAAAGCACUUUAAGUUGGGAGAAAGGGCAGUAAGUUAAUACCUUGCUGUUUUGACGUUACCAACAGAAUAAGCACCGGCCAACUUCGUG
rnacentral:rRNA from 1 species